rnacentral:rRNA from 1 species
UGAGGAACAUGACCUUCGGCGGGGGAUAGCCGGCCCAACGGCCGGGUAAUACCGCGUACGACCACAUGGGGACAUCCCUGAGUGGUGAAAGCAGCAAUGCGCCGAUGGAGUGCCUCGCGGCCUAUCAGCUAGUUGGUGUGGGUAAUGGCCCACCAAGGCGACGACGGGUAGCCGGCCUGAGAGGGUGACCGGCCACACUGGGACUGAGACACGGCCCAGACUCCUACGGGAGGNAG